AGAAAUAUAUGAACCAAGACUAGUUCAACUAGCACAAGAAAACAAACUAGUUGUUGCAUCUACAAAAAUCUGAAAUGACCAUCUAACAACUAAGUGACUUACAACUAGCACAUUCAAAACUGUUGCCUCCUGCUGCUUUUUUCUUAGAGAAAAAUCUGUACUGAACAUCUAACAAAUAGCACAUUCAAAACUAGCACAUUCAAAAAGGAACUUCAUCUUCACCAUACAGACUACACCAAUACUGAAAACUGAAGAAUAACUGAAGUACAAGAGAGAGACGAGCCUAAGUUCAAACUACAACAAACAUAAGCUGCAAGCUCCAUGUUCCAGCCUGUAGAUGAUUCAUUUUAAUGUCAGGUUCCUCAGUCCAACAUUAAAGUAACACACAGGACCAAUCAGAACACAAAUCAUAAUACCAAUCCCUGUUGUCUUUUGUUGACUGAAGUACAGAUGUGCAUGCAUACCUUGACAGUAGUCGGAGACGAGCACGACAAGGUCCCGGCCGCCACCCCGCUUCCGCCGCUGACGGCCAGCAAUGACGCCGCGGCGAGGAGGGCGUCCCAGUCCCUUAGCUAACUUGUUGAUCAACAUCUGCCCACAGUCCAAUUGUUGAAUGAAGCCAUGAAUGCGUCCC
rnacentral:lncRNA from 1 species